AACGAACGCUGGCGGCAGGCUUAACACAUGCAAGUCGAACGCCCCGCAAGGGGCGUGGCAGACGGGUGAGUAACGCGUGGGAACAUACCCUUUUCUACGGAAUAGCUCUGGGAAACUGGAAUUAAUACCGUAUACGCCCUACGGGGGAAAGAUUUAUCGGGGAAGGAUUGGCCCGCGUUGGAUUAGCUAGUUGGUGGGGUAAAGGCCUACCAAGGCGACGAUCCAUAGCUGGUCUGAGAGGAUGAUCAGCCACAUUGGGACUGAGACACGGCUCAAACUCCUACGGGAGGCAGCAGUGGGGAAUAUUGGACAAUGGGCGCAAGCCUGAUCCAGCCAUGCCGCGUGAGUGAUGAAGGCCUUAGGGUUGUAAAGCUCUUUCACCGAUGAAGAUAAUGACGGUAGUCGGAGAAGAAGCCCCGGCUAACUUCGUG
rnacentral:rRNA from 1 species